rnacentral:rRNA from 1 species
GAUGAACGCUGGCGGCGUGCCUAAUACAUGCAAGUCGAGCGAACAGACGAGGAGCUUGCUCCUCUGACGUUAGCGGCGGACGGGUGAGUAACACGUGGAUAACCUACCUAUAAGACUGGGAUAACUUCGGGAAACCGGAGCUAAUACCGGAUAAUAUAUUGAACCGCAUGGUUCAAUAGUGAAAGACGGUUUUGCUGUCACUUAUAGAUGGAUCCGCGCCGCAUUAGCUAGUUGGUAAGGUAACGGCUUACCAAGGCAACGAUGCGUAGCCGACCUGAGAGGGUGAUCGGCCACACUGGAACUGGGCCACGGUCCAGACUCCUACGGGAGGCGGCAGUAGGGAAUCUUCCGCAAGGGGCGAAAGCUUGACGGAGCAACGCCGCGUGAGGGAUGAAGGUCUUCGGAUCUUAAAACUCUGUUAUUAGGGAAGAACAAAUGUGUAAGUAACUAUGCACGUCUUGACGGUACCUAAUCAGAAAGCCACGGCUAACUACGUG